CCCUUAGAUGUUCUGGGCUGCACCCGUGCUACACUGGCAGGUUCAGCGAGCUUCAUGCCCUGAUCUGAAAGGAAUGGGAAAUCUUUUCAAAACCUGCCGUGCUUGGGAUAGAUGUUUGCAAUUAUUCAUCUUCAACGAGGAUUGCCUUGUAAGCGCACGUCAUCAGCGUGCAUUGAAUACGACCCUGUAUUCUGUACACACCGCCCGUCGCUCCUACCGAUUGAAGUUUUCGGUGAGUUGACAGGAGGAUUUUUUUGAAACUGGUUCGCCAGUGGAUUUUAGAUCCAAAUGCCAACGAAUCGAUGGCUUUAGAGGAAGGAGAAGUCGUAACG
rnacentral:rRNA from 1 species